AUAAAAUGGAGUGGGGGGUAGCAGAUAAAGGAGAAGAACUCCUUCUUAAGACUUAACUGUCUGUGCUCGGACUGGAAAAGCAUAUGCGUGUUUCCCUCUCCCAGGCCAGUUGACGCGUUAGCCGUUUAUCUCCCACUGGUGAGCGAAAGACUGAGAUUCCAUCCUAUUGGGGGGACGUGGCGGGGGUGGGGGGGGAACCUGUAGGGCGAGGUCCCCACCAGGCACCUGAAAUCCUAACCCCCCUGAGCCUCUCUGAAGAUAACCCAGCUUCGGUUUGUGUAGCAGACGCCAUGGCAGAAAUUAGAGUUACUUUCUGUGCCCUGGGGGCAGCGGUACCACAAGCUCUAUUAUCAGUCCUGCACCUUUGUGUUGGGACACUCUGGCACCCCUGCAGGAAAUCCGGCUGCCUUUUCCGGGAAGGGGAAGUCUUAACAGUCUUUAAGGAUCAAAUGAGAGAAGCUUCCAGGUGACUGUGGGACCUCCCAGGAACAACCCAGGAACUACCUGUAAGGGGUGGCUAUCCUCAUCUUCCUGAAGGAGUGAAAUCAGAGCUUUUAAGAGCUCAAAGGAGGGGUCGGCCCCAUGGUUAAAGUUCCACACCCUCUGCUUUGGCGACCCGAGUUUGUGGCCCGGAUCCUGGGUGCAGACCAACUUCCACUCAACAGCCAUGCUGUGGUGGCAUCCCACAUACAAAGUAGAAGAAGAGUGGCACACAUGUUACUCAGGGACAAUCUUCCUCAAGCAAAAAAAAAAAAAAAAAAAAAAAAGGAGGAUUGGCAACGGAUGUUAGCUAAGGGCGAAUCUUCCUCGCAUACAAACACAAAACAAAAAAAGAGAUGAGGAACUCCUGGAUGAAUCCCUAGGAUGGAUAAAAAGACAGCGCUUCCUGGAUGGCUGGUACCAGGGGCCGUGCGUUGGGAGCGUUGAGUGGAAAAGCUGGGCAGAUGCUCAGCUCAGUGGGAUGGGCGCUUCCUUGGAACUGUCCUCCCCCGAGGGGCUGCCCUGGCUUGACCUCAGCAUCGUGACAGCCGAGGUCAGUGGAAGGAUAUUCUCCACUGAACAGACAGCCACGUGUGCCGUCAGAGAGAGGUGUUGACUCCGGGUGGGCGGGACACGGAAGCUGCUCCCCAGUUCUCUCCUUAUUUCCUUCCCACGCCGAAGCCUGCCAAUGUCCCCAGAUGUCCUUUCCUUAAAAUCUGCUAUCCUCUCCAACAAGUAAUAAAGUCCAGCCACCCAAGCUGCCCAAACCCUGCCGACUCGGGUGUCUACUGUGCUCUGCUCUCUCCUGCCGGCGGGGAGGCAUGAGCGCUCAUCUUCGUUUCUCUUGGUUUCUCAAGGUGGAAGUAAGGAAGAGUUCUGGUCCUGUGGACAAGGGCUGAGGGAUAGACGGGCUCUCUUCCAAUUCAGCUGUGGCUUGCCUGCUCCUGAAGUAACUAAAAUCAUACACUGUUUGCCUUCCUGAGGACUGACUUCUUUUCAAAGACCGCUCCCCGUUUAGAAGACCUCAAAAGGCUAUGCAGGCGAAAAGGGCAAAAAAGGGGGAAGGUGUGGGUGGGCUUAAGCCAGUUUUGAGUUAUUUUGGAGAAAUAUAAGAUUUAUUACUGAACUGACUCCCACCCAAUGUAGUGAGAUACUUAAAAUCAAAUACAGUUAAUACUAACAUAAUUAUUGAGAAAUAUGACAGUGUUAACAUUCAGAGGCCUGAUGCUCCCGGCCCUAAUAUUAAUCAUGAGGAAGCUUAAUAUUCAAACAGAAUUGGAAUGCACUGGGCUGCUUUAAAUGCCUCCCUUUGUGCUCAGGCAGGACACUAUCUUCUCAAGGGUGGAAUGGCUCCAUUUGCAUAAUGUCUUGUCUUUGUUCCUUCUGUUGUCCCAGCUAAUUGCUUUAGAAUACCCGACCUCUGCUAGUCCCCUAUCUUUCUUGCCAAUAAUGAUUUGUGGUCCUCUUCCCUCUUGAUAUGUAAAAUUGUAGGUGAGCUGAGACACUUCAAAGCACAAGACUUUACGUGAGUAUCCCCCAGUGGGGGUGGCGAUAUUGACAUUUUCACCGGAGACAGAGUGGAUCAGUGUCAGGAGGGAGAAGCCAGCUCCCUCGGGCUCCCUACUUAGGGAGGUGUCUCCUUACGUGAUGGGAGGGGCUGAGUUUGAAGAAAAGACGGUAAGUUUUGGGUUUUAGAAGUUCCCCUUCCUGAGAUAGACUUGGAGUGGGGAUUGCCUGCUUCCUUUGGUUAAUUAAAUCGGCGAUGUUUCUGUGACUCAGCUGUUCUGCCUUCUCUAAAUUGUCCUGGGACCUUAAGGGGCAAGGAUACCCAGGCUGGAGGUGGAGGUAGAUAGGACUAGUACUGGUGACUAUCUAACAGGUGCUCACUUAUUAGGCACUGACUAUGAGCUGGUCAUGUGUUAAGUGCCACACAAACAUUCUCUUGUUUAAUCCUCACUUUGCCAAUAAGGUGGAUUCUGUUGUUAUCCACAUUUUGCGGUAUAGGAGAGGAAAAAUGUUUUCCUCUACCCUCUUACAUUCUGUGCCUGAGACCCUGCACAUUAAACUGACAAAAGACGGGUUAACGAAGAAGAGGCAUGCACAUUUUAAUUUGAUGUUAAUAUUAUAAUUUUUUACAUGUAUAUGGGGAUCUCACAGAAAGGAAAUGAAAAGUCAAAGAACUGGUUGGGUUGCGAGCUCAUAUACCAUUUUAACACAGGGUGAUAAACUUGUGGAGAAGUGACAAGAUAAAAGAAAAAGGUUUGAGCUUCUAGGAGCAGUAAAUUGUGGGAAAGUAAAUAUAUGGGGGAAACUAAUGGAAGACAAGGGUUAUUUCAGUAACAUUUGCUUAUGCUUAUGGUGCCAUCUCCAGUGAUCAGAAUCCUUUCUUCUUCCUGGUGUGGGAGUGGGGGAGGGUGGACACCUUCACAAAGGGAAAUUUAUGCCCUGCCUUUAUGCAGAAAUGGGGAGGAAAGAGAUUUUUCUGCAUCUGCUGUUUCUUGAUUGCCUUUAGCUCAAAAUAAUCGUCAUGCCAAAGUGGCGUAUUUCGAUGUGGUGUAUCCUGAUCCCAUCCAGCAGCUGAGUAAACUGAAGCAUAGAAAGCAACUUGCCUGAAGUCGCAGAACAGGCACCUGAGCUGGACCUGUUUUAAAGACAGAGAAGGCGGGGCUGGGGCAGCAGGCGCGGAGCUCACGUGGCAAGAACGUCAAGGUCAUGUAGCUCAAAAUCUGCUCUCCCAGCCCUUUAGUCCUUGGGACACCCAACACAGGGGAAGAAACUGCUGGUCCUCUGAGGAGCACUGUCCAGAUGGUGGAGCCUCUAGGAGCCUGGGUCUCUUGGAGCGGACAGCGUGAGCAGAGCCCCAGCUGACCACAUUGGGCACAGAGCAUGUGUUUUAAGCUACUGAUAUUUGCAGGUUGUUUGGCAGAGAUGACUAGUCACCUGCCGAAGAUCCGUGCAUACCCGUGUUAUGUAGAGUUAGUCCUUGGAAGCAAGUCUCCAGCCACGGAUGACAUUUCCAGCAUCCCCUCCCCUGCAAUCUAGAGGGAACCACGUGACUCGUUCUCACUAAUGGAAUGUGACAUGAAGUGGCUUACUUCUGGGUCAAGGUGGUUAAAUUCAGGUGCCUGAGGGGCUGGCCCCAUGGCCGAGUGGUUAAGUUCGCGCGCUCCGCUGCAGGCGGCCCAGUGUUUCGUCGGUUCGAAUCCUGGGCGCGGACAUGGCACUGCUCGUCAGACCACGCUGAGGCAGCGUCCCACAUGCCACAACUAGAGGAACCCACAACGAAGAAUACACAACUAUGUACCGGGGGGCUUUGGGGAGAAAAAGGAAAAAAUAAAAUCUUGAAAAAAAAAAAAAAUUCAGGUGCCUGAUCCUUCACCUUCUCACCACCACCCCUGUCCCCUUCCCCGAUCUAGCCAGGUGGGUGACAUCAGGGUAACCCUGAAGCCACAAGAUGGCAGGACUAAAAGACAGAAGCAGCUUGGUUCCCUGGUUACAGGCUGGAGCAGAGCCGUCCAGGAGUGCAGCUCGGCCAGGAGCACCUACAUUGGACUUUGCGUGGGCAAAAAAUAAAGGGCUAUUGGGUUAAGCCCUUGAGAUUUGGGGUUUUGUUAUGACAGAUAGUGUAGUCCACCUGACAAAUAGAGUCUAGCUAAGCUAGAAUCAGGUGUUGUUUGCAGCCUAAAGGUUCUUACUGAAAGUUUUGGAGAAGGACCCACGAA
rnacentral:lncRNA from 1 species